UACGGAGGGUGCAAGCGUUGCUCGGAAUUAUUGGGCGUAAAGGGUAGGUAGGUGGUCUCAUUUGUCUGAGGUGAAAUCCUUGAGCUUAACUCAAGAAGUGCCUUAGAAACGGUGAGACUAGAGUUCUGGAGAGGGUCGUGGAAUUCCCGGUGUAGCGGUGAAAUGCGUAGAGAUCGGGAGGAACACCAGAGGCGAAGGCGGCGACCUGGACAGAUACUGACACUCAACUACGAAAGCGUGGGUAGCAAACAGG
rnacentral:rRNA from 1 species